rnacentral:rRNA from 1 species
UGGGGAAUUUUGGACAAUGGGGGCAACCCUGAUCCAGCAAUGCCGCGUGAGUGAAGAAGGCCUUCGGGUUGUAAAGCUCUUUUGUCAGGGAAGAAACGGUAGUAGCGAAUAACUAUUACUAAUGACGGUACCUGAAGAAUAAGCACCGGCUAACUACGUGCCAGCAGCCGCGGUAAUACGUAGGGUGCAAGCGUUAAUCGGAAUUACUGGGCGUAAAGCGUGCGCAGGCGGUUGUGUAAGUCAGAUGUAAAAUCCCCGGGCUCAACCUGGGAAUUGCAUUUGAGACUGCACGGCUAGAGUGUGUCAGAGGGGGGUAGAAUUCCACGUGUAGCAGUGAAAUGCGUAGAUAUGUGGAGGAAUACCGAUGGCGAAGGCAGCCCCCUGGGAUAACACUGACGCUCAUGCACGAAAGCGUGGGGAGCAAACAGGAUUAGAUACCCGAGUAGUCCCUGAGCGGGCUGGCAAGGCGCAU